AUUGAACGCUGGCGGCAGGCUUAACACAUGCAAGUCGAGCGAGCGGCGGACGGGUGAGUAAUGUCUGGGAAACUGCCUGAUGGAGGGGGAACACUACUGGAAACGGUAGCUAAUACCGCAUACCAUCAGAUGUGCCCAGGUGGGAUUAGCUAGUAGGUGGGGUAAUGGCUCACUUAGGCGACGAUCCCUAGCUGGUCUGAGAGGAUGAACAGCCAGACUGGAACUGAGGCACGGUACAGACUGCUACGGGUGGCAGCGGUGGGGAAUAUGGCACAAUGGGCGCAAGCCAGAUGCAGCCAUGCGGCGUGUGUGAAGAAGGCCUUCGGGUUGUAAAGCACUUUCAGCGAGGAGGCGUUACUCGCAGAAGAAGCACCGGCUAACUCCGUGCCAGCAGCCGCGGUAAUAC
rnacentral:rRNA from 1 species